UUGAAGAAACCAGAUGAUCCUGAAUCGGUGUCUGAUUCACUGUCUGAGGAGGAAUCUGUUCUUCUUGAUUGUUCAUCAACCUCUGCUCUCAGUGUGAGUCUCUAUUUCAACACAAUCUGGGAACACAUCAUUGAAGCGUCC